UGUCUACGCCACUGUAUUACAUAAUACAAAUACAUUAUUUAUAUUUUUAAAAUAUAAAUGAUAGGCCAUAAAUAAAUUUAUACCUGUUUAUUCUUAGUUUACCUGUCCAUUCGCAGUUUAAAUGUCAAUUCUCAGUUUAGUUACACCCAUGAUGAAUCUAUAAACACCGUAAUUUAAAAAAAAUUAUCUGAAUUUAUGAAUGACAAAAGUGAAGAAAUUCAGUCAUUAUUAGAAAAUAUGACAUCGACGCUACCAUACAUUUAUCAAAAGAAAAUGCAGGAAGAUAUUUUGCCACAUCUAAUUAAAUCAUUAUUUAAUGGAACAGUUUGCGAAAUAGUUAAGGGACUCCUUGAUAUUCAACAUUUAACGGAAAAAAAUUUAUACAAUCAAAGGAUCAAAUUGAUCACUGCACAUAAAGAACAAAAGCAACUAAUGGAACUUAAGCAAAAAAAAAAAUCUUCAGAAUUUUUAGCAAAUAAUAGGUCAGAUUCAUCAAACAUGCGAUUAGCGCAAUCUCAGGAAAUUGAAAACUUGUAGAGGUCACCGCUCAGUAAAAAAAUAUUUUCAAGCUCGCCUCUAAUUUUGGAUGGUCUGGCUAUUUUAGUUGAAAUUGUAAAUUGCUUCAAAGUUUAAAAAUAUAUAAUGGAGAAUAGACAAAAGGAGGAAUUACGAAAACUAGAUAUGAGAAUAAUAAUGGAAUUAGAUCAAAAAGUCAUGGAUCAGCAAGUGACAUUAGAAAAAGCUGGAGUCCCUACCUUUCAUGUCACAAAUAAUCCUAAUGAAAUUCAGAUGCAAAUUUACAUAUUAGGAUUUAUAAAAAAGAUCGGAUCUAUAGUAUUUCAUCAGUAUUAACAGACUGACUCUUCACACAUAUUUAACUUUAUUAUACAUUUUUUAAAGCCUAUACAAGAAUAAAUUUAUUUCAUAUAUAUAAGUUUACAGUAAUAAAAUAUAUAAAUUUAAAAAAUAUAUGUUCAUCUAAAUAUAUCUGCCCCUUCCCUUUGGGGAUUUUGAGAUGGAUAAUGAAUGUUAGAUAUUUUGUGAUCCAAAAAUACUGGAGGAGCGAUAAAAUUAAUUUUAGUAUCUUUAGUCA